AGAUCUGUCAGUCAACCCAGCAGAACCAACAAGCACCAUGACUCUCAUCACCAUCCUGAUCUGGACGCUGCUGACCUGCUGCUGUUUUACAGGAUGCAGCGCUCAGGUGACUGUGACUCAGCCUCCACUGGUGACAUUUACACCAGGAUCCACGGCCACUAUAAAGUGUACAACAAAUCCAGCUGUUGCAACAUGUUCUGGCGGUCCUUGUAUGUCCUGGUAUCAGCAGAAACCAGGACAGCCUCCAAAGCUCUUGAUAUACUAUGUGAAUAAUCUUGAGUCAGGAACACCAGAUCGGUUUAGUGGCAGUGGAAGCAGCUCUGUCUUCACUUUGACCAUCACUGGAGUUCAGGCUGAAGAUGCAGCAGUUUAUUACUGUCAGAGUAUCCAUGUAGUAAAUGACAACAAUGUGUUCACACAGUGAUUUGUAGCUGUACAAAAACCUCCUUCAGUCAGACUGCAAACACACUGAGCUGUUAGAGCAGAAACUGCAGCUGCUGAGGAGGAAGAGACUCUGAAACAGAUCAAUGAACCUCAGACUUUAAGAGCUUUGUUCAGUCAGUAAAUAUAUCAAACAUCAUUUAGGAUAAAACAUCAACAACUUCAACAGUUUUAGGCUUCCUUGAAGGGAACAUCUCAGUGUCCAUCUUUUAAUUACAACACUGUAAUUUUGCAGCUCAGUGAACAGACAUUUCACCAGACUGUGGAGCUGAUUAGAUAAUUUCAUGGAAAUUAUAACAAUUCAGACACACAAAGUAAUAGAUUUCUUCACAUAUGAAGGUAUAGAAAAUGUAAAGCAUCGCCUGUCAGUGAGAUCUGAUUGCACCUCCUCUAUUAACUUCAGAAAACUAAUCCCAAGUGGUAGGACUGAGUCUAGAUUAAUCUGGAAAAAUUAUUUAAAAUCUAAGAGUGUCGGCGGUAUGCAUACUUUUGAGAUUACUGUACAAAUACAAGAAGAAAGCAACACAAUCAUAACCAAGUAAUAUGAGUACAAAUAAAAAUAUGUUGAAAAAGAAA